UUUUUUUUCUUUUAAAGUAGACAACACAGUAUUCAAUAUGUGGUAUGUCCAGUCUUUUUAGAAGCCACUUAGUCACAAACACUGGCCAAAGUUAGCAUUUAUAUUUGUUUGUGUUAAAAAUGCAAAAAAACAAUUAUGAACGCCAACUUUGACCAGUGUUUCUGACUAAGUGGCUACUAAAAAAAAAAAAAACAGAAAAUACCCCAUUUGCAAUACCUUGGGUUGUCUUCUUUUGCAAAUGGUAUG